CACGUAGGGUGCGAGCGUUGUCCGGAAUUAUUGGGCGUAAAGAGCUCGUAGGCGGUGUGUCGCGUCGGCCGUGAAAACCUGCAGCUUAACUGUGGGCGUGCGGUCGAUACGGGCAUCACUGGAGUUCGGCAGGGGAGACUGGAAUUCCUGGUGUAGCGGUGAAAUGCGCAGAUAUCAGGAGGAACACCGGUGGCGAAGGCGGGUCUCUGGGCAUUACCUGACGCUGGAGGAGCGAAAGCGUGGGGGAGCAAACAGGG
rnacentral:rRNA from 1 species